rnacentral:rRNA from 1 species
GACGAACGCUGGCGGCGUGCUUAACACAUGCAAGUCGAGCGGUAAGGCCCUUUCGGGGGUACACGAGCGGCGAACGGGUGAGUAACACGUGGGUGACCUGCCCUCAGCUCUGGGAUAAGCCUGGGAAACCGGGGUCUAAUACUGGAUAUGACUCCAUGACGCAUGUUGUGGGGUGGAAAGCCUUGUGCGGCUGAGGAUGGGCCCGCGGCCUAUCAGCUUGUUGGUGGGGUGAGGCCUACCAAGGCGACGACGGGUAGCCGGCCUGAGAGGGCGACCGGCCACACUGGGACUGAGACACGGCCCAGACUCCUACGGGAGGCAGCAGUGGGGAAUCUUGCGCAAUGGGCGAAAGCCUGACGCAGCGACGCCGCGUGAGGGAUGACGGCCU